rnacentral:rRNA from 1 species
GACGAACGCUGGCGGCGUGCUUAACACAUGCAAGUCGAACGGAAAGGCCCUGCUUUUGUGGGGUGCUCGAGUGGCGAACGGGUGAGUAACACGUGAGUAACCUGCCCUUGACUUUGGGAUAACUUCAGGAAACUGGGGCUAAUACCGGAUAGGAGCUCCUGCUGCAUGGUGGGGGUUGGAAAUUUUCGGCGGUUGGGGAUGGACUCGCGGCUUAUCAGCUUGUUGGUGGGGUAGUGGCUUACCAAGGCUUUGACGGGUAGCCGGCCUGAGAGGGUGACCGGCCACAUUGGGACUGAGAUACGGCCCAGACUCCUACGGGAGGCAGCAGUGGGGUAUAUUGCACAAUGGGCUGAAGCCUGAUGCAGCAACGCCGCGUGCGGGAUGACGGCCUUCGGGUUGUAAACCGCUUUCGCCUGUGACGAAGCGUGAGUGACGGUAAUGGGUAAAGAAGCACCGGCUAACUACGUG